AUUGAACGCUGGCGGCAGGCUUAACACAUGCAAGUCGAGCGGUAACAGAGAGAAGCUUGCUUCUCUACUGACGAGCGGCGGACGGGUGAGUAAUGCCUAGGAAUCUGCCUAGUAGUGGGGGAUAACUUGCCGAAAGGUAAGCUAAUACCGCAUACGUCCUACGGGAGAAAGGAGGGGACCUUCGGGCCUUUCGCUAUUAGAUGAGCCUAGGUGGGAUUAGUUAGUUGGUGAGGUAAUGGCUCACCAAGACCGCGAUCCGUAACUGGUCUGAGAGGAUGAUCAGUCACACUGGAACUGAGACACGAUCUAGACCCCUACGGGAGGCAGCAGUGGGGAAUAUUGGACAAUGGGGGGAACCCUGAUCCAGCCAUGCCGCGUGUGUGAAGAAGGUCUUAGGAUUGUAAAGCACUUUAAGUUGGGAGGAAGAGCAGUUAACUAAUAUUUGACUGUUUUGACGUUACCGACAGAAUAAGCACCGGCUAACUUCGUGCCAGCAGCCGCGGUAA
rnacentral:rRNA from 1 species